ensembl:lncRNA
AGGGGCUCCUAGCGAGUCCCUAACUGCUCAAGUAGCGGUGAUUGGCAUAGGAAAUAAAGAAAAGAUUAUGCAGAAAAUGAUUAAAGAUGGAUUUAGGGAAGUAUGGGGUCCGUGUAGGCAGUGUGAAUGGGUGAUAAAGGAAGUUAGUGAUCACAAGAAGCAAAAGAAAUAUGCAUGUGUUUUGAAUUGUCUGUGGAUUUCACAGGCGAGGGGACUUUUGACUGACCGCGUGGGUAGGGUAGUGCAAGCGCAGGCAGCUAGAGAUGCUACACAAGAUACGUGGGAUUUGUUAGACAUUGUGACUAAGGAGCCAAGACCUGACGCAGGAAAAGCUCCUAAAAUUGAUGACAUUUAUAACUGGCAGGCAUAUUUCUCAAAGCUGAGAAAGGCAAUCGCAAAGGCAGGAAAAGAUUUUAAUGAGGCUGCUGGCCAAGUGGGGGUGUAUGGAGCUAUGGGUGUUCGAGAUUUGACUAGUAUUGUAAAUACUCUACCGCUCAUGAAAUCUAACAGUACCAGUUCUGAUUUUUGGGAUCACUUGUGGGUGAUGGCGAGAUCAAACCACCUAGCAGUAAAAGAUCUGUAUUCGAUUUGUGAACAGGUCUGCCCGUCUACAUACACGGGUCAAAUUGUCAAUCUUACUCCACCCACGCAGGCACCUGCAAAUGCGGAUGAAUAUGCAAAUCAAUUUAAUGCACUGCGCACAGAAGUUCAGAGUAUAAUUGGGUCAGAAAAUCAGACUUUCACUAAUGUGACUAUGAUUCGACAGGGCCCUAAUGAGCCCUUUGUUGAAUUCACUGAACACUUCACAAAAGCGCUAAAAGAAUUUGUUGCCGCACAAAGAGGUUUUUCUGAUUUGGACUCCCCAAUACUGCUUCACACUGCGCAGUCAAAUAUGAACUCCAGAUUUGCACAGCUGUUUCGAUCAUCUCUGCCAACAAUAACUGAUUGGGCUUCUUUUGUUGCGUGGGGAACACGGGCUCAGGAUAUUUUGGAACAACAGAAGAAGGAAAGCUUGCCCUCUGCCCCAGCAUACAAAUGUUACCAUUGCCAGAGG